CCUCACCUCCCUCUCCAACCGCCCCCUUCUCUCCCUACAUUCUUUUGGGGACCCCCUCUUCUUCUCUCUCUCCCUUCGUUCCUCCUCCCUCUCGCCGUCUUUCUCCCCUUCCCGUCCUCCUCCUCUUCUCUUCUCCAUUGUCUCUUCUCCUCCCUUCUCUCUCCCCGCCUAAACCCCUCUCUCCGCCUCCGUCUUCUCUUCUCCCCCCUCUUUCUCUCAUCUUCUCCUUCGUCCUCUUUUUUCUUUUUUUUCUCUUCUCCAGCAGAUUCUCGCGAGGAGAAGCAGCAUCCAAGCGAGGAGAACGACCAGCAAGUUCCACCAGCACCACGAGGCAAUGCCACCAGCAAAGGAAACAACAAUGCAAGGCCAGCGACACCGGUGAAAAUAAGCCAUUUCCGAGCAGCAACACCGCGAUCGGAAGGCACAACCCCCUCCGUUUUUCCCUUGUCCUUUCCUUCUUCUUCUCUUUGUCUAUUUUGCAGGAACAACAACUGCCAGCCAGCCACAGGCGACCGGCAGGCAGUAGCACCGGCAGACCAGCAGCUUCAACGAGGCCAAUACCCGUUGGCCACCUCUAAAAUAGCCAAACCUGCGAACUCGAAAUUUUGAAAUAUCCACGUUUUGGACUUAAAGUUCAAGACGAUGAAGAGUGACUUAGAAGAAAUUUCGGACAAAGCGUUAUUUAUUUUAAUGUUGUGUAUAUUUUCAUCUGUUAUUUUUAUUAAAAUAUGUGUAUAAAACAACUCUUAUAUAUGAAGCAACUUGGGGGAUCGCCUAGGGAGGGGAAUUAUGUAUUAACCAUUUUUUAUUGCAAACUUGUUUGUGUUUAAUAGCAAUGCCUAUAAGUGUAUAAUUUGUACAUCAAA